rnacentral:rRNA from 1 species
AGAGUUUGAUCAUGGCUCAGGGUAAACGCUGGCGGCGUGCCUAAAACAUGCAAGUCGAACGGUGUCCUUCGGGGCACAGUGGCAGACGGCUGAGUAACGCGUGGGUGACGUACCUAUCGGUGGGGAAUAACUGCCCGAAAGGGUGGCUAAUACCGCAUACGUCCACUGCUUCGUGGCAGUGGGGAAAACCGCAAGGUGCCGAUGGAGCGGCCCGCGUUCGAUUAGCUGGUUGGUGGGGUAACGGCCUACCAAGGCGACGAUCGAUAGCUGGUCUCAGAGGAUGAUCAGCCAGACUGGGACUGAGACACGGCCCAGACUCCUACGGGAGGCAGCAGUUAGGAAUUUUGGGCAAUGGGCGCAAGCCUGACCCAGCAACGCCGCGUGGGUGACGAAGGCCUUCGGGUUGUAAAGCCCUUUUCUGAGGGAAGAUGAUGACGGUACCUCAGGAAGAAGCACCGGCUAACUACGUGCCAGCAGCCGCGGUAAUACGUAGGGUGCGACGUUGCCCGGAUUUAUUGGGCGUAAAGGGCGCGUAGGCGGUCACGCACGUCCGUUGUGAAAUCGCUCGGCUCAACUGGGCGGGGUCAGCGGAUACGGCGUGGCUGGAGCAAGCUAGGGGGCAAUGGAAUUCCCGGUGUAGUGGUGGAAUGCGUAGAUAUCGGGAGGAACCCAGUGGCGAAGGCGGUUGCCUGGAGCUUCUGACGCUGAUGGCGAAAGCGUGGGGAGCGAUCCGGAUUAGAUACCCUAGUAGUCC